UGGGGAAUAUUGGACAAUGGGCGAAAGCCUGAUCCAGCCAUGCCGCGUGUGUGAAGAAGGUCUUCGGAUUGUAAAGCACUUUAAGUUGGGAGGAAGGGCAGUAAGUUAAUACCUUGCUGUUUUGACGUUACCGACAGAAUAAGCACCGGCUAACUCUGUGCCAGCAGCCGCGGUAAUACAGAGGGUGCAAGCGUUAAUCGGAAUUACUGGGCGUAAAGCGCGCGGAGGUGGUUUGUUAAGUUGGAUGUGAAAGCCCCGGGCUCAACCUGGGAACUGCAUCCAAAACUGGCAGGCUAGAGUACGGUAGAGGGUGGUGGAAUUUCCUGUGUAGCGGUGAAAUGCGUAGAUAUAGGAAGGAACACCAGUGGCGAAGGCGACCACCUGGACUGAUACUGACACUGAGGUGCGAAAGCGUGGGGAGCAAACA
rnacentral:rRNA from 1 species